rfam:Daucus carota subsp. sativus cultivar DH1 chromosome 8, whole genome shotgun sequence.
GUCGGGAUAGUUCAGUUGGUAGAGCAGUGGACUGAAAAUUCUCGUGUCACGGGUUUAAAUCUUGUUCCUGGCA